rnacentral:rRNA from 1 species
UACGUAGGGGGCAAGCGUUAUCCGGAUUUACUGGGUGUAAAGGGAGCGUAGACGGUCCUGCAAGCCAGAUGUGAAAGCCCGGGGCUCAACCCCGGGACUGCAUUUGGAACUGUAAGGCUAGAGUGUCGGAGAGGCAGGCGGAAUUCCUAGUGUAGCGGUGAAAUGCGUAGAUAUAAGGAAGAACACCAGUGGCGAAGGCGGAUGACUGGACGGCAACUGACGGUGAGGCGCGAAAGCGUGGGGAGCAAACAGG